CUGGCGGCGGCGGCUUUGUCUCUUGGGCUGGUCCCUGGUGGCUCCCUCCCCGGAACAGCUGCCACCGAGGGAGGAAGCGGCGCGGUCCAGAGCCCUAGUGCUGAAGCCCCCGAGCCCUCGUCAUCCACCACCACCAUGUAAGGGCCAUGAAAAGGGCUCGUCCUGGCGCAGCGCGGACAUGGAGGAGGACUUAUUCCAGCUAAGGCAGCUGCCGGUGGUGAAAUUCCGUCGCACAGGCGAGAGUGCAAGGUCAGAGGACGACACGGCUUCGGGAGAGCAUGAGGUCCAGAUUGAAGGGGUCCGUGCAGGCCUAGAGGCUGUCGAGCUGGAUGAUGGGGCAGCUGUGCCUAAGGAGUUUGCCAAUCCCACCGACGAUACUUUCAUGGUGGAAGAUGCGGUGGAAGCCAUUGGUUUUGGAAAAUUUCAAUGGAAGCUCUCUGUUCUCACCGGCUUGGCUUGGAUGGCGGACGCCAUGGAGAUGAUGAUCCUGAGCAUCCUUGCGCCGCAGCUACACUGCGAGUGGCGGCUGCCCAGCUGGCAGGUGGCGUUGCUGACCUCGGUGGUCUUUGUCGGCAUGAUGUCCAGUUCUACCCUCUGGGGAAACAUCUCAGACCAGUAUGGCAGGAAAACAGGGCUGAAGAUCAGUGUGCUCUGGACCCUGUACUAUGGCAUCCUCAGUGCUUUCGCGCCCGUGUACAGCUGGAUCCUGGUGCUCCGGGGCCUGGUGGGCUUCGGGAUCGGAGGGGUCCCCCAGUCGGUGACGCUGUAUGCUGAGUUCCUUCCCAUGAAAGCCAGAGCUAAGUGUAUUUUGCUGAUUGAGGUGUUCUGGGCCAUCGGGACAGUGUUCGAGGUUGUCCUGGCUGUGUUUGUGAUGCCCAGCCUGGGCUGGCGUUGGCUGCUCAUCCUCUCGGCUGUCCCACUCCUCCUCUUUGCUGUUCUGUGUUUUUGGCUGCCAGAGAGCGCAAGGUAUGAUGUGCUGUCCGGAAACCAGGAAAAGGCCAUCGCCACCUUAAAGAGGAUAGCCACAGAAAACGGAGCCCCCAUGCCUCUGGGGAAACUCAUCAUUUCCAGACAGGAAGAUCGAGGAAAAAUGAGGGACCUCUUCACACCCCAUUUUAGAUGGACAACCUUGCUGCUGUGGUUUAUAUGGUUUUCCAAUGCAUUCUCUUACUAUGGAUUAGUCCUGCUCACCACUGAGCUCUUCCAGGCAGGAGAUGUCUGCAGCAUCUCCAGCCGGAAGAAGACGGUAGAGGCAAAAUGCAGCCUGGCCUGUGAGUACCUGAGUGAGGAGGAUUACAUGGACCUGCUGUGGACCACCCUGUCUGAGUUCCCAGGUGUCCUUGUGACUCUCUGGAUUAUCGACCGCCUGGGCCGCAAGAAGACCAUGGCCCUGUGCUUCGUCAUCUUCUCCCUCUGCAGCCUCCUGCUGUUUAUCUGUGUUGGAAGAAAUAUGCUCACUCUGUUACUCUUCAUUGCAAGAGCGUUUAUUUCUGGAGGCUUCCAAGCAGCCUAUGUUUACACACCUGAGGUCUACCCCACGGCGACCCGAGCUCUGGGCCUGGGCACCUGCAGCGGCAUGGCAAGGGUGGGCGCGCUCAUCACUCCGUUCAUUGCUCAGGUGAUGCUGGAAUCGUCCGUGUACCUGACGCUGGCGGUUUACAGUGGCUGCUGCCUCCUGGCUGCCCUGGCCUCCUGCUUUUUGCCCAUUGAGACCAAAGGCCGUGGACUGCAGGAGUCCAGCCAUCGGGAGUGGGGCCAGGAGAUGGUCGGCCGAGGGACGCACGGCACAGGUGUCGCUAGGUCGAACUCGGGCUCUCAGGAGUAGUGACCGAUGGGGGGCUGAGCUGGGUUUUGAGGCUGUAGAGAGCGGGGAGCUGCUGGAGCCCGGCUGGGGCACCGAUCGUCACUGCCCACAUCAAGAACUCACCCAAGGGUGCCACCUGGACCAACGAGGUUUUGUGUCUUGACUGUUUGCUCAUAUUUAUCAAGAUCCAUCCGGGGAUGGGGAGGCAUUUGCUCCGGGGGGUUCUCCGUAUGUGUGUGUGGAGGUUUGUUAAUAACCUGUGGAUCUGCAUGGGAAAACUGCCACCUCAGCAGUGCCUGGUGACGCCGGUAGCCAGCUGGACACCAUCCAGAGUCAGCCGGUCACAGCCUCGGUGAACAACAACCGAAAGAUCUUUGUAGAUACACUCCAGGCUGGGACCCCUGUGAGACCUGCCACUCACCCGCUGGACCUGUUCUUAGGUUUCUCCUGCAUCCCCGGCCCCAGGUUUUCUUCUUUGAAAUUGCAGGUGACCUGGGUGUGGCCUGAGCAGCUUUUUCUUGAGUCUGAGAAAUGCUCCCAGGGAAGGGGCUCCUCACUUUGCCUUCCCAGGGCUGAGUAGCGGAGACUCUGGCCGGAGACUCUGGCCGAUGGACAUGCAUUUGAACUUGAGCCGCAUGCCUCCACCUGGCCCCCUCUUGGAGUUGCUGUCCCUGGCUCUAGGGGAUCCAAAUGUGGCCAUGGGGACAGCUAGGCUUGCACUAGAUGACAGCCUCAGAAAGCUAUUACCCCCAGGAAUUGGGGAUGGAGGCAAAAGGGAGGUGAGAACCAAGCCCACGACCAAAGCAGGGGCCUCCCCUUUGGAAGCAGCAAAAGUCACUCCGGGGGCUUCUUUUCUGGCCCCCUCGUUGGUCAGGCUGAUUGGUGACUCUUGGGGCAAGAAAACAGUUAAGUCAGGUUUCAGUGCUUUGGAGUUUGAGCGCGGUGGGUGGCCAAAUGGACCGAGAGACAGAAAGAUGCUCCCCCCAGCCACCUGCUCCCAUGCGGGCCAGGGGACCAGGAAUUCUUCCUCCCUGGAUUCUCUGCCGUCCCUGCUGUCAAGGGGUGGCUUGGUCUUUCCAUAGAGGCAGCUCCUGGGGUUCCAGUGAUGGACCCCACGGCAUGGAUACCAUGGGUAGGGAGGAAUGGGAGGGCCCAGAUGUGUGAAACAUGUACAUUUUCAACGAAAGAGAAGGGAGGUCAACUGGAUUUGGGGAUUGGCCUCCAGAGGAAGGGCUGAUGCUGUGUCUCAGCAGACAACAUCCACCUCCAGGAUUUGGUUUCCACAAGCCUUUUCCCUGUCAUGAAGGCAGGAACCUAGGGAAGGAGAGACGAAGAUGCCAGAUCCCAUCAAAGGCCAGAGAAGACUGACCGUCUGCUUGGAGAUAUCUGCUUGAAGUGAACAUUCCGAGGAAGCCAAAUGUCUGGCCAGACACUGCCGGAUGAGCAAGUCCACUCACUUCACCCUCAAAUAACCUGGAGGAUCUGGGGGCUGUGGUGGGGAAGGAGGGCUUGGUGGCAGAGAUGUUUUCCAGGGGCUGGAGUAAAGAGGCUUGUAGUUGUGGGUUUUCUCUUGUUGAGAAAAUGAAAGGUGAAAACUCUUGGCCUUCUAAAUUGCCUGCCCUUUUAUAAAAUCGAUAUAAUUGAAUGAUAC